rnacentral:rRNA from 1 species
AGACCCGAAACCCGGUGAUCUAGCCAUGGGCAGGUUGAAGGUUGGGUAACACUAACUGGAGGACCGAACCGACUAAUGUUGAAAAAUUAGCGGAUGACCUGUGGCUGGGGGUGAAAGGCCAAUCAAACCGGGAGAUAGCUGGUUCUCCCCGAAAGCUAUUUAGGUAGCGCCUCGUGAAUUCAUCUCCGGGGGUAGAGCACUGUUUCGGCCAGGGGGCCAUCCCGGCUUACCAAUCCGAUGCAAACUGCGAAUACCGGAGAAUGUUAUCACGGGAGACACACGGCGGGUGCUAACGUCCGUCGUGAAGAGGGAAACAACCCAGACCGCCAGCUAAGGUCCCAAAGUCAUGGUUAAGUGGGAAACGAUGUGGGAAGGCCCAGACAGCCAGGAUGUUGGCUUAGAAGCAGCCAUCAUUUAAAGAAAGCGUAAUAGCUCACUGGUCGAGUCGGCCUGCGCGGAAGAUGUAACGGGGCUAAACCAUGCACCGAAGCUGCGGCAGCGAACGUAUCACCCAAGACAACUUUGCACAGUUGACGAUUGACGGAGCGAAGCGACGUCAAAGCGUUUUACAACGUCGAGUUGGCUUAGGGAUACGUUCGUUGGGUAGGGGAGCGUUCUGUAAGCCGUUGAAGGUGGCCUGUGAGGGUUGCUGGAGGUAUCAGAAGUGCGAAUGCUGACAUAAGUAACGAUAAAGCGGGUGAAAAGCCCG